rnacentral:rRNA from 1 species
CCCUUAGAUGUUCUGGGCCGCACACGCGAUACACUGAAGGAGGCAGCGUGUACUCCUGGAUCGAAAGAUUUGGGUAACCCGCGAAUCUCCUUCGUGCUAGGGAUUGAGGUUUGCAAUUAUCCUUCAUGAACGAGGAAUUCCCAGUAAGUGCAAGUCAUAAGCUUGCGCUGACUACGUCCCUGCCCUUUGUACACACCGCCCGUCGCUACUACCGAUUGAAUGAUUUAGUGAGGACUUCGGACUGGGACCGAUGCGGCUUUCGGGCUGCGUCGGUAUUCUGGAAAGAUGUCCAAACUGUAUCAUUUAGAGGAAGUAAAAGUCGUAACA